GGUGCUUGCAUCAUGAUUUACAUUUGAGUGAGUGGCGAACUGGUGAGUAACACGUGGGAAACCUGCCCAGAAGCGGGGGAUAACACCUGGAAACAGAUGCUAAUACCGCAUAACAACUUGGACCGCAAGGUCCGAGCUUGAAAGAUGGCUUCGGCUAUCACUUUUGGAUGGUCCCGCGGCGUAUUAGCUAGAUGGUGGGGUAACGGCUCACCAUGGCAAUGAUACGUAGCCGACCUGAGAGGGUAAUCGGCCACAUUGGGACUGAGACACGGCCCAAACUCCUACGGGAGGCAGCAGUAGGGAAUCUUCCACAAUGGACGAAAGUCUGAUGGAGCAACGCCGCGUGAGUGAAGAAGGGUUUCGGCUCGUAAAACUCUGUUGUUAAAGAAGAACAUAUCUGAGAGUAACUGUUCAGGUAUUGACGGUAUUUAACCAGAAAGCCACGGCUAACUACGUGCCAGCAGCCGCGGUAUACGUAGGUGGCAGCGUUGUCCGGAUUAUUGGGCGUAAAGCGAGCGCAGGCGGUUUUUUAGUCUGAUGUGAAAGCCUUCGGCUCACCGAAGAAGUGCAUCGGAAACUGGGAAACUUGAGUGCACAAGAGGACAGUGGAACUCCAUGUGUACCGGUGAAAUGCGUAGAUAUAUGGAAGAACACCAGUGGCGAAAGCGGCUGUCUGGUCUGUAACUGACGCUGAGGCUCGAAAGUAUGGGUAGCAAACAGGAUUAAAUACCCUGGUAGUCCAUACCGUACACGAUGAAUGGCUAGUGUUGGAGGGUUUCCGGCCUUCACUGCUGCAGCUAACGCAUUAAGCAUUCCGCCCUGGGAAGUACGGCGCAAGGCUGAAACUCGAAGGAAUUUGACGGGGCCCGCACAAGCGGUGGACCAUGUGGUUUAAUUUCGAUCUACUCGAAGAACCCUUACCAGUCUUGACAUUACUAUGCAAUUUCUA
rnacentral:rRNA from 1 species